rnacentral:rRNA from 1 species
AGUGAACGCUGGCGGCAGGCUUAACACAUGCAAGUCGAACGGCAGCACAGUAAUAGCUUGCUCUUACGGGUGGCGAGUCGCGGACGGGUGACGAAUACAUCGGAACCUACUCUUUCGUGGGGGAUAACGAAGGGAAACUUACGCCAAUACCGCAUACGAUCUACCGGUGAAAGCAGUGGAGCGUCGGUCCUUGUGUGAUUGAACAAGCCGGUGUCGGAUUAGAUAGUUGUCGGGGUAAAGGCCCACCAAGGCGGCGAUCUGUAGCUGGUCUGAGAGAACGGUCGGCGACACUGGAAGAGGGACACGGUCCAGACUACUACGGGAGGACGCAGUGGGGAACGUUGGGCAGCAGGAGCAAGGAUGAUCCAGCCAUGGGGCGUAGGUGGAGGAAGCGUUGGGGUUGUGAAGCCGUUUUGUUGGGAGAGAAAAGCAGCAGGUUAAGACGAAGCUGUACUGACGGUACCCGGAGAAUAAGCACCGGCUAACUUCGUG